rnacentral:rRNA from 1 species
UACGUAGGUGGCAAGCGUUGUCCGGAUUUAUUGGGUUUAAAGGGUGCGUAGGCGGUCCUGUAAGUCAGUUGUGAAAUCCGGCAGCUUAACUGUCGAGGUGCAAUUGAUACUGCAGGACUUGAGUACAGACGAGGUAGGCGGAAUUGACGGUGUAGCGGUGAAAUGCUUAGAUAUCGUCAAGAACACCGAUAGCGAAGGCAGCUUACUAGACAGUAACUGACGCUGAUGCACGAAAGUGUGGGGAGCAAACAGG